rnacentral:misc_RNA from 1 species
GAAAUUUCCAGUGGUACUCACGAGAAAGGACUCUUUACUAAAUAGUCGUACUUGUCAACUCCACUUGCAGGAAUGGCCAACAUUACUUUAACUGCAUCCGUCCGAUUAUGAACUGGCAAAAUCAGACAAUACUUAUCACUGCAUAUGGGCCCAACCUGUACUGGCAUUCCCAUACCAAAGUCAACUCUCUCUAACCCUAGCCUUGACCAUUGAGACGUGAUCAACACCCCUACUGAGUCUGGACUCGCUCUUUUCUGACUCACAGAUUCGAUCACCGAUCUCACGCAUUCGUUGUCCACUCUUUCUUUUGCUCUCUUUAUCAACGUUGAUGCGUACCCUAUACCCUUCUCUGUUAAAUCUUUAA